AUGAGGUCAAUCACCAACCCUUGAACGUGGGCUGGCCUUUGGACCUGCCCUGGCCAACAGUGUGGCGGAAGUGAUGUGUGCAUUCCCGAGGCUCCGCCCACGGAGACCUGGCAGACUUUACUCUCUGCCCAGCUGCCAGGUGAAGAGGCCGGGCUAGCCUGUCGGAGGGCAAGAGACACAUGCCCGUCACCGCCAUCAUCGCAGCCACCCACACCUGGAGGUAGAGCCACCCACUCAGCUGACCUCCAGCUGACCACAGGCACCCAGAUGCUGCAACCACGUCUCGGACCCCCAGACCUUCCCCGGGCGACCUUUCCACUCCCCUGGGAUGGAGGGAAGUCUGUGACUGCUGCAACCAGGGCAGGGCACAGACGGGCCGCGAGGUGACUUCCGAGGCGAGUCACCUGCAACUCAGGCAAUUCAGCUUCUGCCUUGUCCACUGGGACGUCGGGCCUGAGAGCCAUCAGAAAGGAGUCGGACUCCCCUGAGGCCACCAUGCUGGGGGGACGCCAGAGCUCGUCGCCUGAAGAGACCAUGAGCAGGCACUCUGGCUGAUGGUCGUACCUGGAGCCACCCCAGCCCAGAGCCAAGCGAGUGUGUGGACAGGCCGCUGCCCCCGCCUGUGCGUCUCCCAGCCCAGACCCAACGUCGUGGAGCAGAGACCCACUGGGUCAAAUUCCAGUUGUCCAGGUUGUUCACGCACAAAGGAACCCGCCACGGGGACCAGAGGGGCCAAAAUCCAGUGAG